rnacentral:tRNA from 1 species
GCCUGGGUGGCUUAGUUGGUUAAGCGUCUGAUUUCAGCUCAGGUCAUAAACUCAGGGUCUUGGAAUCAAGUCCCACACCAGGCU